rnacentral:rRNA from 1 species
CCUGGCUCCGUAGAGCGCUAGCUACAGGCUUAACACAUGCAAGUCGAGGGGCAGCAUUUCAGUUUGCUUGCAAACUGGAGAUGGCGACCGGCGCACGGGUGAGUAACACGUAUCCAACCUGCCGAUAACUCGGGGAUAGCCUUUCGAAAGAAAGAUUAAUACCCGAUGGCAUAAUUAGACCGCAUGGUCUUGUUAUUAAAGAAUUUCGGUUAUCGAUGGGGAUGCGUUCCAUUAGGCAGUUGGUGAGGUAACGGCUCACCAAACCUUCGAUGGAUAGGGGUUCUGAGAGGAAGGUCCCCCACAUUGGAACUGAGACACGGUCCAAACUCCUACGGGAGGCAGCAGUGAGGAAUAUUGGUCAAUGGGCGCAGGCCUGAACCAGCCAAGUAGCGUGAAGGAUGACUGCCCUAUGGGUUGUAAACUUCUUUUAUAUGGGAAUAAAGUUUUCCACGUGUGGAAUUUUGUAUGUACCAUAUGAAUAAGGAUCGGCUAACUCCGUGCCAGCAGCCGCGGUAAUACGGAGGAUCCGAGCGUUAUCCGGAUUUAUUGGGUUUAAAGGGAGCGUAGGUGGACAGUUAAGUCAGUUGUGAAAGUUUGCGGCUCAACCGUAAAAUUGCAGUUGAUACUGGCUGUCUUGAGUACAGUAGAGGUGGGCGGAAUUCGUGGUGUAGCGGUGAAAUGCUUAGAUAUCACGAAGAACUCCGAUUGCGAAGGCAGCUCACUGGACUGCAACUGACACUGAUGCUCGAAAGUGUGGGUAUCAAACAGGAUUAGAUACCCUGGUAGUCCACACAGUAAACGAUGAAUACUCGCUGUUUGCGAUAUACAGUAAGCGGCCAAGCGAAAGCAUUAAGUAUUCCACCUGGGGAGUACGCCGGCAACGGUGAAACUCAAAGGAAUUGACGGGGGCCCGCACAAGCGGAGGAACAUGUGGUUUAAUUCGAUGAUACGCGAGGAACCUUACCCGGGCUUAAAUUGCAUUUGAAUAUAUUGGAAACAGUAUAGCCGUAAGGCAAAUGUGAAGGUGCUGCAUGGUUGUCGUCAGCUCGUGCCGUGAGGUGUCGGCUUAAGUGCCAUAACGAGCGCAACCCUUAUCUUUAGUUACUAACAGGUCAUGCUGAGGACUCUAGAGAGACUGCCGUCGUAAGAUGUGAGGAAGGUGGGGAUGACGUCAAAUCAGCACGGCCCUUACGUCCGGGGCUACACACGUGUUACAAUGGGGGGUACAGAAGGCAGCUACCUGGUGACAGGAUGCUAAUCCCAAAAGCCUCUCUCAGUUCGGAUCGAAGUCUGCAACCCGACUUCGUGAAGCUGGAUUCGCUAGUAAUCGCGCAUCAGCCAUGGCGCGGUGAAUACGUUCCCGGGCCUUGUACACACCGCCCG